AAUCUUGACAGGGCUAGCAAAGAAGGCAGGGACUCCCUCUUCCCCUAGAUCCCAGUGAGGCCAGUUUUACCCCAGCAAAGGUGGGCUGCUGGUGUGUCUUAUUUCCCAUCCCUAUCUUACAUAAUCUCUAUUUUAAGAAGAGCAGAGAAGACUGAGUUUCUUGUUUCAUAACCAGCCCCACUCAUAGAUUGGAAAUUCUACUUCAAGCACAAUGGGGUGAAAGUAGGGUUCCAAUUUCUUGAGCUCUGCCCACUUGUAGAGAGGAAGUUUCCACUCAAGCCAAGGAGGGGAGAGGCUGAUACCCAUGACAGGACACCAGAACUCAUUAUGCUUAAGGUCAUUGUUGAAAAUAAAUCUGAUCUUGGUGGAGAGCAAUCGAGAAGAAGCUGGUAGCUCCAGGAUACAAGCAAAAUCUGCGAGGCAGUCACAAGAUUAGUGGAAGAACUAGGCAAAGGGACAGUCAGUUAAGAAAGCCUUCCUGGAUCAGUCAACUCUGUAGAGUCUGGGUGGCUGUGGAUGUGCCCUGCUAGGCUGUUCUCACUUAAGAGCAAUUAGAGAAGGACAGGAGGCUGACCUGAGAGCAUUCCGGAGGCAACAGACUCAUCACCAGAAGGCAGCAUCCUGACUGGCACAAUGGGAUUAAGAGCAGUCUUUAACCAAACUCACAGGAAGGCAAGACAAGGGGAAAAGAAGAAUGAAACAUGUGAAGCAAAAAGAACACAAAAUGACAGACUCAGCCCUAACACGUCAUUACCUUAGUGGCAUGCCUAAAUAUACCGUUUCUAAGGCAGAGAUUGACAUAUUGAUGUACUGACUAGAUUAAAGAAUAAAGUAGGCUGAAAGUGAAAUAAUGAAAAAGAUUGACCAUGAAAAUCAGGAGUUCCCUUUGUGGCUCAGUGGUUAACAAAUCCAACUAGUAUCCAUGAAGAUGCUGGUUGCAUCCCUGGCCUCAUUCAGUGGGUUAAGGAUCCGGUGUUGCUGUGAGCUGUGGUGUAGGUUGCAGACGCGGCUGGGAUGUGGCAUUGCCUUGGCUGUGUCAUAGGCCAGCAGCUGCAGCUCUGAUUCGACCUCUAGCCUGUGAACUUCACAUCACACAGAUGUGGCCCUAAAAUGAAAAAAAAAAAGAAAAAAAUUACAAGAGCACAUGUGAAGACAGGCAGAUUUUUUUUUCUUAGCAUUGCAGUGAGUCAGGGAUCCCUAACCAAGUUUGAAAAAUAAACAUUGUAAGAUAAGAAAGGAAGAAAACACUUUCCCCAGGCUAAAAUGUAGAAGCCUUGGAGGUAUAAAGAUCAAUUUUGAUUUUGAAAAGUAAUAAUUUUUCUUGGAAAUUUGAGGGUCAUACAUUAUUAAAUGUAGAACUUUUUUAAUACAAAAGAUAUACUGUUCAAAUAGUGCGGUAAACUUCCAGGACUGGUAGAGUCAUUUAGGUUUCUAGUCUUUGAGUAUGUGGUCUUGGACAUAUAACUUCACUAAAUCUCAGUUUCGUAUGAAUGAGAAAACAACCCUGAGAAGGUUGUUGCAAUCUGUAACUAUUAUUUAGUUAUUGGCAGAAGAGCUAGAUAGACUCACUUUCAUUUAAACUGAAAUGUUUUAUUUGGAACAGUUUUGUUCACCAUUUAUGUGGACACUGACUGGUAUUCAAACUUUGAUAUCACAUUAAACAUGUUAACUUGCUGUGUUUUUCAACACUGAAGUCACUUAGGAAGUAUAUAAAAAGCCAUGGUUCCAUGACCCCUUUGCAAAGCUUCUGAUGUAACUAUUGAUGGAUAGAACCUUGAUAACAGUAUUUAAUUUUUAAAGCUUGACACAGUGUUAAUGAUCAUUUAGGGUAAAGAAAGCUUGGGAGGGGGUUGUUUUCCAUUGACUCUGGCAUACAUGUCAUUUUUUUUUCUUUCUUUCUUUUCUUUUUUUUUUAUUUUUAGGGGUGCACCUGCGGCAUAUGGAGGUUCCCAGUCUAGGGGUCUAAAUGGAGCUACAGCUGCCAGCCACAGCCACAGCCACAGCAACACCAGAAUCGAGCCACAUCUGUGGCUUACAUCACAGCUCAUGGCAACACUGGAUCCUUAACCCACUGAGCGAGGCCAGGGAUGGAACCCUCAACCUCAUGGUUCUUAGUCAGAUUCUUUUCCACUGUGCCACGACGGGAACUCUGUGAAUAAUAUAGUUUCAUGUGACAGUUUUUAGUUUAACUGUUAGAUGUUUAACUGUUAAGAUGUUUAAGUGUUAAUAACUAGGUAAAAUAGUUCUUGCUUCCUUAUGUUGUUUAAUAUAGAAAGUGUGGUUUCAAUUAAUUUGGCAAAUAUUUGAAGAGAUUAAACAUAUGACUCUGAGGAUUUUACCUAAAUUUGUUUCUUUUGUCUCAUCUUUGCUAAGUAUAGCAGUAUUCUAUUUUGAGUAGAAGAUAUAUCACACUAUUGCCUUUGGAAUGGAUUAGCAAUGAGAUCCUGCUGUGUAACCCUGGGAACUAUGUCUAGUCACUUAUGAUGGAGCAUGAUAAUACGAGAAAAAAGAAUGUAUACAUGUAUGUGUAACUGGGUCACCAUGCUGUACGGUAGGAAAAAAAAUAAUGUAUUGGGGAAAUAAAAAAAAAAAGAUAUAUCAGAUUCCCAAGUUCUAGUGACAGAAUGGCAAGUAUCUUCUCCUACAUGUAAUGUCUGAAAUGAAAGACUUUCAUUUUGGCUAAAAAGACUUAAUAAUAAGCAAUUCAAACACACAUUGCCUCCAGAGCAGUGCUUAGCAAGACUCAGAUAGAAAGUCUAGUAUGUCCCAGUAACAGUCAGCUGAGAAGUCUCAUAUUUCAUGUGGCCAGGCUUAGAUUCUCCAUAUAUAUAUUUCCUGGAUAAAGUGUGACUAUGGUAGCUGUACUUUAGAAAAGCUGUGUUAUAACAUAAUUUAAAUUUAUAGAAAAGGGUUAUAAGAAACACUCAUUUUUCUCUCUCCUACAACUGCAUUUAAAGAUAGUCUCCAUGUUUAUUAAUGUUCUUUGAUAAAAAAAAACAACACAAUAAGUGACGCUAUAAAUUUUGUUGGGAAUGGGAAAUAGUUCCAAAAAUAAUUUAACUAAUUUGUGUUCUUUUCUGUAUCAGUCAAAUAAGUUGAUGUAUUUUUCAUUUUGCCAUAGCUACAAGGAAACUCACAUUGAUAAUGCAGGAAAUCUCUGCUACAUAGCACUAUCUACUUAUUCUUUCCUCUACCUUCCUUCCUCCCCUGGUUGCUUGCUUGCUUCCUUCCUCCCUCCUUUCCUGCCUUUCUCUUUCUUUUUCUUUUCCUUCUUUCUGCCUUCCUUCCUUCCUCCUAGUCUUCCUGCCUUCCUUUCUUUUUUAGUUAAUAUAUUUUCCCUUUAUUCUCUAAUUUCACAGUUAGUGGUCUCAAGUUUUGUUCAAAUAUCUCAGCAUUAUAUUUUAAAAUGUGAUGUAAAAUAUGAGAUAGUGCAUAACCAGAUGCAUUAUCCUUAUAUAAGCUAAAUCUUUACUGCUAAGACUAAUGACCCUGUUGACAAAACACCAGCCCCUGGCUUCAGCUACAUUCUGCUCCACUUCUCACAUUGGCUGGUAGUUAUCAGAUUAGUCAUGAUAUGUUUUUCUACCCCUCCAUCCAUACAUAUAUAUGCUCUGAUAGAAAAUAUUUGGUAUUUCUGUGUGUAUUUGUAAACAUAAAUGAUAUGCCACACAUAUAAUUUUAUAACUUUUUAAAAAGUCUGACAGUGUAUCUGGAGGAAAUUGCCAUAAAAUCUGCAUAAUUAUAAAUCUUAGUGUUUUAGAGACAUUUAAGUUGUAUUCAAUUAUGAAUAAUGCUGUAUAUUCCUCCUUUAAUAUAGGUGAGAGUAUUCUCCAUGGACAAUACUAAGAAAUGAAAUUUCUGGGCUAUUGAAUAUUUACAUUUUAAUUUCAUUGAACACUUUCAAAUUUGUUAACAAAUAGGGUAUAAAAUUUAAAAUAUCACUAGCUUUGUAUGAAAGUACCCAUCUUACAACAAUCCCAUAAAUCCUUAUGUUUAAUUUUAUUUUAAAAAUCCCAGUUUAAUGAGAAAUUUAUCUAUCCAUCUAUAUGUAUCUAUUAACCUACAACAAUCUUCCUAAUUUUCUCAGGAUGAGCUUCUUUUCAUGACAUCAUUGACUAUUUGUGUUUUAUUUUUUUGUGAGUUGCCUAUACAUAUCUAUACAUAUCUUUUCACUAUGGAUUUCUAGUAAUUUAAUUUUAAAUCAAGAUAUUGGUUAGUCUGUAAUAUAAAUAUGUUGCACAUUUAUUGGUUUUACAAAUAUCCAUUGACUUUGUGUCAUCUUAGAGAAAUGUAGACAUUUUAAUUUAGCAUGAACAAGAUUUUCUAUUUUUUUGUUACAUACUUUAUUUGCCUUGUUUACAAAUACUUUCUGUUCCUCAUGAACAUAAAUAAUUGUAUAUUUUCUCGUAAUAUCUUUUAUUGUGUUGUAGAAUUUUUCACAUUUAGCACAUUAACAUAUCCAUUUUUAUUACAUAACAUAGAGAAUCUAUAUUUUUUAUUUAGCCUUCCUUUGUAUCUAAAACAUAAAUAUGCUGCCUGUGAAGAUAAAAUACCACUUAAAUAUACAUUUAUAUAUUAAUAUAUCUUAAUAUAUUAAAUACAUC
rnacentral:lncRNA from 1 species